rnacentral:rRNA from 1 species
ACUCCUACGGGAGGCAGCAGUGGGGAAUAUUGCACAAUGGGGAAACCCUGAUGCAGCCAUGCCGCGUGUGUGAAGAAGGCCUUCGGUUGUAAAGCACUUUCAGUAGGGAGGAAGGUAGUGUAGUUAACACCUGCAUUAUUUGACGUUACCUACAGAAGAAGCACCGGCUAACUCCGUGCCAGCAGCCGCGGUAAUACGGAGGGGUGCGAGCGUUAAUCGGAAUUACUGGGCGUAAAGCGCAUGCAGGCGGCCUGUUAAGUCAGAUGUGAAAGCCCGGGGGCUUAACCUCGGAAUUGCAUUUGAAACUGGCAGGCUAGAGUCUUGUAGAGGGGGUAGGAAUUUCGGGUGUAGCGGUGAAAUGCGUAGAGAUCUGAAGGAAUACCGAGUGGCGAAGGCGGCCCCCUGGACAAAGACUGACGCUCAGAUGCGAAAGCGUGGGGAGCGAAACAGGAUUAGAUACCCUGGUAGACUGUC